rnacentral:rRNA from 1 species
AACUGCUUUUAUGCGGGUAUAAAGGAGCAUACGUGUAUGUUUUUGCAGGUACCGCAUGAAUAAGGACCGGCUAAUUCCGUGCCAGCAGCCGCGGUAAUACGGAAGGUUCUGGUGUUAUCCGGAUUUAUUGGGUUUAAAGGGAGCGCAGGCUGUCAGAUAAGCGUGUUGUGAAAUGCGGUUGCUCAACAUCCGCACUGCAGCGCGAACUGUUUGACUUGAGUACGCACGACGUUGGUGGAAUUUGCCGUGUAGCGGUGAAAUGCUUAGAUAUGGCGAAGAACUCCGAUUGCGAAGGCAGCUGACGGGAGCGCUACUGACGCUCAUGCUCGAAAGUGCGGGGAUCGAACAGGAUUAGAUACCCUGGUAGUCC